rnacentral:tRNA from 1 species
GGGCCCUUAGCUCAGCUGGUAGAGCGGCUGACUUUUAAUCAGUAGGUCACAGGUUCGAACCCUGUAGGGCUCA